rnacentral:lncRNA from 1 species
GCCGUAUCUGUGUUUCUUUGGUUUCCAUCUUGUACAUUUCACUUCACUAUGAUCGCCGGCAAAUUCCCCUGCUGCUGCUGUUGUAGAGGAUCUGGGAUUAAUUCGACUGAGACAGUCUAAAUUUCGGCAAAAUUCAUCCAUUUUGGUUAGGUCCAAAACAAAUUUUAUACUUCAAAUCUCGAAAAUUCACUGGAUUGAGUCUAAAAUUAGAUCAAAAUUUCUCAAAAUUCGUCCAUUUCGGUUGGGACUAAAUUUUCCUUUCCAAAAUGAAUCCAAGAAUAGCUACUCCACAUACAACAGUACAGAGUAUAUGGCUGCAUUGUCAUGCAUGUAUGCUCUUCCAUACUCUUGCAAAUCAGAUGGUCCAUAGUCUCGGUCGUCCAUCUCAUCCGACGUCGUUCAUGGUCCAUAUAAUCAUUUAAAAAAACGAAAAAAAAAGAGAAAGGAACUAGCCGGUUUGGUGAGUUUCAUAAUUUGCCAAGCCAAAGAUUUGACAACCAAAAGUUGGGCAAAGAUACUUGCCACACAUUUGGCAAGAUAAAUGUAUAGAUUGAGAUCUAAAUCAUACACUAAUAAGGACUAGCUCGCUCGAGGUUACAGUGAACCUUCAACAUACAACAAAGAACUCUUGGGAUUGACUUAACCGAUCUAGAGAUCGGUUAGGCCGAUCUAGAGCCUGUCCAACAUCGCAAAAGCCUAGGAACACCUCCCGAUAGGACCCAUCGGGGAGGAGCAUGGCUAGAUUUGUUCUAGGGUCGCCAAGGCCACCUAGAAUGCCGAUGACUCUCAACGGGAGAUGCAAAGAAUAAGAAGAGGGGUUGGAAAAGGAUAAAUUGGGGAGUAUAUGUAUUAUUGUCGAUUGUGAGUUAGAAUCCUCAAUCGGCCAUAUGAUUAUCUCGUGUAUAUACAGGGAGUGGUUUUAUACCAGUAGGAAAGUGUCCGAGAUGCAAUCUUCAAGUUUUCCACG